AUUAAUGUUUCUUAUGUAUACAUUUGUAUCAGGCCUAUAUUGCAUUUUGAAUGUAAUAUGGCAAUGGAAUGUUGUAAAUGGGUUUAGUUUUCACAGAUAUGAAUUUAUGCAAUUUCAGUAAUAAAUAUGUAAAUUUUUCUAAAAAGGAAACAAAUUAGUUGUGCAUUUUAAGAGACCCGUCUUAUUUUCUCUUGUAUAUAUAGUAUUGCCUUUAAUAAAGAACACAUACUUAUUAUCCGAAUACCCGAUUAAUCGAUGGAAAAUCAGUAGAAUACUCGAUUACUAAAAUAAUCGAUAGCUGCAGCCCUAAUGUCUUUAUGCUGUUUUAUACUAUUAUAUAGCUAUUAUUUAAAUAGCUGUCAUACAAAUGACUGUUAAUUGAUAUAAACCUGUUCCACGUUUCUUGAAGCUUUUAUUCUUUUAUUAUUUUGACAGUUGUUGAAGCAAAAUAAUAAAAUGUUAUUGUGUACUGUUGUACAAUAAAUGAACUGAAUUUUGAGUAUUCAUUUGUCAUUUAUAUAUGAAUAUAUUAAUAACUAUCUGACUUGUCACAACGGUAUGAUAACGUAAUCUGAUGACCUCACGACCUGCAACGUCACGGAGUUACGUUGUUGCAACGAAUCCAGGAAUUUCACUUUUCCGUUUGUCACGACGUAACUAGUUACGUUGCCACAACGGAAGUUUGCUCAUCAUAUUACGUUGCGGUUACGUAACAAUCAUGUGAUAUGGUUAGCUGGGCUGCAAUCAUAUUUUUUAAAUAAUAAAACCAUAAACACCCAGCAUGUUAUACGCUUAAAUUGGAUGAGUGAGGAAAGGCCAUCGUAUAUAACUUUGUCAACCCUCUUCCUCCACUGACUGAACCCUCGUUUCGCAGUGCCUUCAAGGAAACAUAGUUAAAACUAUAUACAUACAUCAUAUUAUAUGCUGCACAUGAGGGAAACACGAUCGCUUUUCUGAAGAGAUCUGCUCGUGAAUGUAUUUAAAAUAAUGUAAUGCUAACUUGCAAUUGUUACACUUGUGGUACAGUCAGGUGCUGUUCAUUCGAUGUGCGCAAACGACCAAACACGUCCGUAUAGCGCAUGCUUACAUAAAAAAAAACAAUGUAGAAGUUGCGCCACCCUGCGGCAUGGAAAAACGAAAUUCUCUGUAAAUGAAGAGUUCACUGUAGCUAACAGCAUGCACAUAUUGUUUGCAAAAAAAGUAAAUAAACUUACCGUGUUACUUACACAAACAAAAAUCAGAUUAAUAUGAUUUGAAUUUGUGAUCAACAGCCUGGCAGGCAAUUAGAGGUGCACACCAGGGUUUAUGCCGCUGUUCCCUUACCUUCUCUAUUUCAUAUUACUGUUAAGGGUUAUCUACUUUCUGUGUUCAACCUAUGUUGUUUUUCUUGGUUUUGGUUUUCUUCUACAGCUGCUUUGAUGCAAUGUAAAUUGUAAAAGCGCUUUAAAAAUACAGUUGAAUUGAAUUAAAAUGUUCUUCGUAGGUCAUUUCAGAUGGCAUCAGCAUAAUAAUUUACAGUGACAUUAACCGUGACUUAAUAAGCUCCCAGCUUGCUAGGUUGUCAAUCAGCAUAGUGUACAUGUGUUUUUCAUUUUUUUACCCCCAUUUUUAUUCUAUAAGUAGAUCCUAAGUCACUAAAAUCUUUUGACAAUGUAAACGUUGUUGUGCUUUCCAUCCACACAAACUGCAGCUGCUCUGUGUUUAUUGUGCAGUCUCGCCCUCCACAGUACUGUGGCGCUGUUGGCCCAAUGUCGCAGCGUCAAGGCAUGUGAAAUGUGCCAUGUGGCGCUUUCGUUAGUAUGCGUGUUUAACUUUUUCCAGCUCUGCGCAGACCGAUCACCUUAUGACAAAAAACAUACGGACUUAGAAUAACAUCUCUAAAGCAUACAGAGCAGUUCACAAAUAGCUCUCACUGUGCUUUGAUGUCGGCGAUCCGUCUGCGAUCAAACAUCAGUGGCACGAGUGUUCACUAGGGGUGGGCGGAUCGAUCUAAAUAUCGAUAGUAUCGAUGCCAACACUGGUAUUGGUAUCAGAUCGAUACAAUUGUAAUUGAAUCGAUAUUUUAAUUUAAAUAUCUCACAUCUACGUUCAUUAUACUUUGCUCGUGUCUUCUACCUCUACAAUCCUGAGCAAACGCUGCUUUUACAUCCUGGCCCACUUUGCUACUCCUCCCCCUCCUGCUGCGAUUCGUUGUUGUGUCGUCACGUGACUCACUGACACAACGCGCCAAGGAGCAGCGAACUGAGUGAGCGAAGCUGAUAGCACAUUGAAUGAGAGAUCAGGAUGGCCGAGAGGAAGAGAAGCGUUGUGACUUCAAUACAUUAAUAAAAAAUAUUGUCUAAAGAAUUGAUCAUUCAUUCACCUGAGAAACAAUGACAUACUGCUCUCCCCUACACAAAAGUAUUUUUUUUUUAAGUAAAAAGUAUCGUAUUGGUAUUGGUAUCGGCAAUACUGACCCUAUAUGUAUUUGGUAUCGGAUCGAUACCAAAUUUUGCAGUAUCGCCCACCACUAGUGUUCACCGGUGUUGUUCCGCUCGCGCGACAGGCGGGAAUUCAAAAUAACGGAUCGCAACAACCUCUCGACUGUCCCAUUGGAUAAUUUUCAGUAUUUUCCAGUUGAGCAGCAAAAAAAUGGGCAACCAAGGCCAACAGACCCAGCCCACCCUGAUGCUCAUCCUUGCACUGCCUGGGACAGCUAAGGCCAACAGGCGCAGCUCCUGUUCUCUUUUUGCCAUAAAUACAUAUCUACUUUAGCAAUGCAAAAUUGUGAAAUGUACUAUAGAAAUAAUUUUUACUUUGACUACAGUGUGAUCCUCACACCACCUGGUAAUAGCAGGAAACCCAUUUGGAGAGAACAGCAUUGUUUUCUCUAGCUCGCAAGGAUUUGCUAUUUGGCAAAUUACAACUUUACCAUGGGUGUAGGCCUUGCUAUGAGAGACUACUUUUUUGCUCGACUUUUUUACAAUUGUACAUUUGUACAAAGUACCUGAAAUAUUUCUGUAUGUACAGUAUAUUUAAAAUUAAGGCAAAUUAUUUGGUUAGUUUUGUUAAGAUAAAGACUUUUCAUUUAUAACAAUAUCACCAACACAAUAUUAAUUAUACAGGUACAUGUGAUUUAAUGAAGUUAGAAUGGUAAUGUUCAAUAUUGACCAUUCUGUAAAUAUUUAUUCAAUGUAAAUUGUUGUUGUUUAUCAAUAAACUGUUGUAUUUGAUUUAGUAUUUCUGCUUAUUAAAAUAUUGUGAAUAGCAAAUAUAAACUGUGAAAUGGUGCCUUGAAGCACCCAAGAUGGUUCCAGACCAUUUUAAUAAAAGGGAUCCCCAAGAAGCCUUGAGGGUUCCUCAGAGAACCGCCCUUCAUUAAGCGGUGCCUUGAGUUUCCCCUGAGGGUUCCGCCGGUGUGGCAAUGUGAAGAACCCCAAAUGGUUCCUCAAAGUACCUUUAAUUUUUACAGUGUACAAUAAAACAAAUAUUUGUCUUUUCUAAAAAAAUAUACUGCUUCAUGAGGAUACAAGGCUUGUGUGAUUUCAGUUUGACGGCUUCAAAAAAUAAAUUCCAGGGAGCAAGGGACCAUAGGAAACAUUGACGCUCCCUGGCUUUUACGUUGCAUUGUACAUGGAGUUUUUAGGAAACGAACAUUUCAUUGCACUAGAAGGA